UCCUCUGUGCUACAUCCUUCUUACUGGAUCUUUCUAUCAGUGAACAUUGUGGAAGUACCAUUACUACAUCGUCAUUCCUGAAGGAAAAGUUGCCAAACUUUUUUCUUUGGAGUUGUUUCAAAGUUGUUGGAAUUUUUGAUGAUGCCUCCCCUAUGUGGAUUACUACUGUUUGAACACUGGGAAUUCUCCAUCUUAAAGAAGCGCUCCCAGGUGACUACAGAAGCCUCGACACCCAGCGUGAUCAGGAGUUGGCAACAGUCUCAUUUCACUGGUGAGUUUGCUGAAGUGUUAUCACAAGACAACCAGAAUGAUGGAUGAGCUCUUCAGGUAGGGAAAUGCUGCCAGCCCGGUUUGUAUUUGGUCUACCUCGAGUUCUGCUGC
rnacentral:lncRNA from 1 species